GAACGCCCCGCAAGGGGAGUGGCGCACGGGUGAGUAACGCGUGGGAACCUGCCCUGGGGUUUGGGAUAACCCGGCGAAAGCCGGGCUAAUACCGGAUACGCCCCGAGGGGGAAAGAUUUAUCGCUCUAGGAGGGGCCCGCGUCGGAUUAGCUAGUUGGUGAGGUAACGGCUCACCAAGGCGAUGAUCCGUAGCUGGUCUGAGAGGAUGAUCAGCCACACUGGGACUGAGACACGGCCCAGACUCCUACGGGAGGCAGCAGUGGGGAAUAUUGGACAAUGGGGGCAACCCUGAUCCAGCAAUGCCGCGUGAGUGAUGAAGGCCUUAGGGUUGUAAAGCUCUUUCGCCCACGACGAUGAUGACGGUAGUGGGAGAAGAAGCCCCGGCUAACUUCGUG
rnacentral:rRNA from 1 species